CCUACGGGCGGCUGCAGUGGGGGAUAUUGCACAAUGGGGGGAACCCUGAUGCAGCGACGCCGCGUGAGCGAUGGAGUACUUCGGUAUGUAAAGCUCUGUCAGCAGGGAAGAAAAUGACGGUACCUGACCAAGAAGCCCCGGCUAAAUACGUGCCAGCAGCCGCGGUAAUACGUAUGGGGCAAGCGUUAUCCGGAUUUACUGGGUGUAAAGGGAGCGUAGACGGCGGUGCAAGCCAGAUGUGAAAGCCCGGGGCUCAACCCCGGGACUGCAUUUGGAACUGUGCUGCUAGAGUGUCGGAGAGGCAGGCGGAAUUCCUAGUGUAGCGGUGAAAUGCGUAGAUAUUAGGAGGAACACCAGUGGCGAAGGCGGCCUGCUGGACGAUGACUGACGUUGAGGCUCGAAAGCGUGGGGAGCAAACAGGAUUAGAUACCCGGGUAGUC
rnacentral:rRNA from 1 species